UACGGAGGGGGCAAGCGUUGUUCGGAAUUACUGGGCGUAAAGCGUGCGUAGUCGGUUAUCUAAGUCGGGUGUGAAAUCCCCGGGCUCAACCUGGGAAUUGCAUUCGAUACUGGAUAGCUAGAGUUCGGCAGGAGGGAAGCGGAAUUUCGGGUGUAGCGGUGAAAUGCGUAGAUAUCCGAAGGAACAUCAGUGGCGAAAGCGGCUUCCUGGACCAGAACUGACGAUCAGGCACGAAAGCGUGGGGAGCAAACAGG
rnacentral:rRNA from 1 species